rnacentral:lncRNA from 1 species
GAAUGAUGAUGAAAAAAUUCAUUAGUAUGAUUCUCCAAUGGUGCUAAUGAGUCGAUUGCAUAUCAUUAGAACAUCUUUAUUCCGACUUUUCUUGAUUGGAGCUAGGCAGCCAUAUUGUAUUGUCAUAACGUCUUCUAAAUACUUGUAUCUGUAUCGGCUUGGAGCUACGCAGCCAUAUUGUAUUUGUCAUAGUCUUAUAAAUACUUGUAUUGCGGGAUGAAUUUUCUUGUUUGAAUGGUUUGUUCGUAGGAAUCAAAUAAUAUUUUUGCUAAAAUAUUGUACACAAUACAAUCAGAAUAUGUACAUGUAAUAUUUUCGUCCUUACACGAUUUUGUUUGAAACCAUAUUUGUGAUAGAACACACGCACACACAACACAAUAGAUCUUCAAUUUUCUGCACAAACCUCUGCCAUACGGCCCCAAGUUGGACACCACUUGUGUACCAUUGGGAUACCAAUGUUAUAUAACAUUGGCCAAUGAAGGUGUGUCAUAUAGCACUUCAGAUGCAUAUCUUUUCUCUUUCCUCUUUAGACAUUCCUAUGUGCCACACCUUCAUUGGGAUACCAAUGUUAUAUAACAUUGAUAUCUCAAUGGUAGACAAGUGGUGUCCCCCCAAGUUCUUCUCAAAGGCCUGUAAACCUCUGCCAUGUGUUGCUCUUUAGGAUUGUCCUCACUUUUUUAUUUUCAUUUUUGUGGGAACAAAGGGGCAUCAUAGCCCGGGAUCAUCCCCUAUUCAACUAGCAACAAUUGGAUGAAUCAUGUCACAUAAGAAUAAUGGCUGGAGAGACCUGAGAUCGUAUGCCAAAUUAUACUUAGAAAGUCAUGAUUUGUUCUCGAGUUCUCGUUGUUUGUAAAGCCUCUUUGGCAGCACUCUUACACAACAUAUCUGUGUAACUUUAGAUAAAGUCUUAUAAGUUAUAAGUAUAGAUCUUAUAAGUCAUAAGUUAAAUUAGAUACAUUAUAUUUUCUCUCUUAAUUAUUAUGAGAUUGUAUUAAUGUAUCAGACAAAGAAGAGGGAUGCUAGAUAUUUUUGUGAUUUAGCUUUGAAAUCAGUUAUGAAUGAAUAUUAUAGCGACAUUAGCAAGAAUUUAUGGAAAAGAUCAUACCUGCUCUGGUUUUUGUGGAAGAGUUUAUUUGGUUGUGCAGUGUGCUUCAGGUGUUGCCUAGUAGACAAUAGUUUAUGGUAUCAUACCUGCCCUGACACUACAAUAUGAGAUGGUAGUACAUUACCUAUCAGUACCUGGUUCGCAGGCAAGACUACAAAAGUAAAUGACGCCAUAUUGAUGUUUAAUAUCGUUGUUCGUUGAUUGACUCAUAUGAACGCGUUGUGAGAACCAUUUUCUUUAUAUUUGAUCAGUAUAUUUCAAAGGGAUCAAAUGAGUUAGAAGCUACCUUGGUGAUCUAUUCAGCAAAGUUUGAUUCGUCUUGGACAUAUGAAGAAAUUAAGGUGUAUAUGGAUGAACUAGAUGGAGAAGUUUGUUCGGUUGAUCCAUUACUGUGCUUGUGUUUAAUUACUGGUAGCUUUUGAAAAUGCUAUUUAUUUUCUAAAGUCUAAUUGGAUGCAAGUAUACAUUGCCUCAAGUAAUAGUAUAAAAAGAUCGUACUCACAUGGAUUGAGGCGAUGUAGCUUUGUGCAUCUUUUCAAUUUAUAAACUUGUUUGCGUAAAAAAAUAACUCAUUCAAAGUAACAACAAUUAAAAUAAAGUUGGAAAUAGGAAGAUAUGGUAAAGAAAAAAAAAACUUAGCAGAUCUCCCAUGACAAAGCGUGGUUAAGAGCAAUGAGUCAGCUAUGACCAUAGGUUUGUAAAAACACAAACAGUUGCAACUUCAUAUAGAUUCAUGGAGACCAAGUGGCCUUAGAGACUUUUUAAUACAACCAUCAUGGUAAGCAUGUGGAGAUAGCUCUCUGGAUGUUCAUUUCAUCAUGCUUACCAUCCAUUAUUGUUAAGUUAUGUCUUAACAUUUUUCUCAUGGAAAGGUCGAGCCUUUUAGCUAUAUCUUUGUAAUCUGAGCUUGAAUCAUUCUUAUACAUCAUUGAAGAAUGUACUUCUUUUCUUUUUGAAGAAACCAAAUUAGUUCACCAAAAUCGGUAUAAGGAAAAAUCAAAUUUGAGGCCUUGUGAAAAACACUUUUCACUUUCAAUCUCAAGUCAUCACUAUCAGGUCAACCCAAGUGAGACGUAUAGAAUGUAUUUUAUACAGUUUUUUAUUUUAUUUUUUAUAGAUAGAUGAGUCAUUGUAAACUCACACAUAAGUGGAAGUACCAGUUCGAACCUUUGGAUCAUAAACUAACACACACAAGUGUAGAAAAAAAUGCUGGGAAUCGCAAAGAAAUUUGUGCAAACGGUGUCGUUUGAGACGCCGAAUCCAGCAGUUAGGGUUCUUCCAUGAUUCUACCACCCGAAGGUGGUGGAUCACUACGAAAAACCCCGGAAUGUUGGAUCCUUCGAUAAGAAUAAUCCGGAUGUGGGAAUUGGUCUUGUUGGUGCACCCGCUUGUGGUGAAGGUGAUGUUAUGAAGCUUCAUAUUAAGGUCGUUGAGAAUGGGAAAAUCGUUGAAGCUUGCUUUAAGACCUUUGGAUGUGGUUCCACUAUUGCUUCAUCGUCCGUUGGUAGGUUGUUUUCAUGAAUUGGUUUGUUAUAGGAAAUUCAGGAAUUUGUUUUGUUUUUUAGGGUUUGUUCCUUUUAUGGUGAUUAUUACAAAUAUGUUAUUGUUAAUUGUGCUAUUAAUUAUGUUUCUAAUUUGUUGUUUACUCCCUCCGUCUCAAAAUAAUUGCCUCUUUACCCAUUUUCUUUUUCUCAAAAUAAUUAUCACUUUAAAAUACCAAUGUAACAUUUAUUAUUUUUUCCGUUACUAUAUCCUUAUUUAUUGAAUUUCAUUUAACUGAACUACUCCACUAACUAUAAUUAAUAAGGAUAUUUAAGUAAAUUAUACAAAUUUUACCAUCAAAUUCAACACAAUUAAUCAUUUCCUUAGUAAUUGUCCAUAAACCUUAAACGACUAUUAUUUAGAGACGAAGGGAGUAUCGUUUUGCAGCUACCGAAUGGGUAAAGCGAAAGACAAUCGAGGAGGUUUUAACCAUUAAGAACACGUAAGUAACGGUGUAAGAAUUUUUUACUUUGUUGCAAAUUGAGUUUUUGUCUGGCUGUAGUUUGUGCAUUACUACGUGAUUUAUUUCUUAUUUUUUGUGUAUUACUAUGUGAUUUAUUUCUUGUAUUUUUCGCACUUAGGAUUGGGUGAAGACUAGUUAUUUGCUUGAGAAUAUUGGAUGAUAUUCAUAAAAGUAACGAAUAAUUAUGUGCUUGAGAAUAAAAUAUGUUGCCACAAUAAGCAUGGGAACAGUUCUGAGUUAUAUUAAGUUUUUAUUAUAUUUUUAUAUUUCUUCUGUUCUGUAAUGUUAAGUUUUAAGCUCUAGGCUAUACAUUUCUUAAACUUCAGACUUUGGUUUUGGUGCUUGAAUUUGAUGGUAUAUGAAUUUUGUAGAAGGUGGAUUUUUUGCUAUUCAAGAUUAGUUGUAGAGCAAAGAUAUCUGCUUGGUUUUAUGGUUGGGGUUUGAAGAUAUGAGCCCUGUUUGGUUAAACAGCUUAUUCUGCAGCUUAUAGCAUAAGCGUGCAUCAUAUAAGCACUUAUGAAUAAACUAUUUCUAUAACACAAGAUAAAAUAAAGUCAAGCUGUUUUAUAACCUAUCAUGGAGAGCUUAUGAAAAUAGCUUAUAACCAUUUCAUAGCUGUUUUCACAAGUUCUCCCAAAUAGUGUCACAAGUGUUUAGGUCAAUAGAUCAUCUCAAACAAGUUAAUCCAAACAGGCCCUUGGUUUUGUUAUUUUUCGCAAUGUCUUCUUCUUGUCUCCUUUUUAAUGAUGACAAGUUGAUGAAUUAUAAGCCAUCGUCUUUUGCUGCUAUGUUUUCAACCUUCUGGUUUCGUUUUUAUCCUUUUUUUUUUCUUCCCGGAAGGAGGAUCUUUUGGUUUCUGAAUCGUGCCCAUCUGUAGGAUUUAAUUUUAGUAAAUAAUUUUAUCUUUGUUAAUGCUUCUAUGAUUGGUAGUUUUGGUCUGUUUGUUGUUAGUUUUUGAAGUGACAAAAUUAAUCUUGUGCAGUGAGAUUCCAAAGCAUCUUAACCUCCCACCAGUUAAGCUUCACUGCAGCAUGCUUGCUGAGGAUGCUAUAAAAGCAGCUGUUAAAGAUUAUGAAGCUAAGCGUGCCUCGGCUACUGCGGCCACGGGAGAUAAAAUCUGCCACUGCAUGAUAUCUUCCAUUGCUGGAAUGAUGAUGAAAAAAUUCAUUAGUGUGAUUCUCCUAUGGUGCUAAUGAGUCGAUUGCAUAUCAUUAGGACAUUUUUAUCCAGACUUUUCUUGAUUGGAGCUAGGCAGCCAUAUUGUAUUGUCAUAAAGACUUAUAAAUACUUGUAUCGCGGGAUGAAGUUUCUUGUUUGAAUGGUUUGUUCGUAGGAAUCAAAUAAUAUUUU